UAGUAUAUUAGUAUUAGCUUUUGGGUUUGGGGAAUUAGUAUUAGCUAUAGGGUGUAUGGUAUUAGUAUUAGCUAUAGGGUGCAGGGAAUAAGUAUUAGCUAUAGGGUGGAGGGUAUUAGUAUUAGUAUUAGCUAUAGGUGUAGGGUAUUAGUAUUAGCUGUAGGGUGUACGGUAUUAGUAUUAGUAUUAGCUAUAUGGUGUAGGGUCUUAGUAUUAGCUAUAAGGUGUAGGGUAUUAGUAUUAGUGUUAGCUAUAGGGUGUAGGGUAUUAGUAUUAGCUAUAUGGUGUAAGGUCUUAGUAUUAGCUAUAGGGUGUAGGGUAUUACUAUUAGCUAUAGGGUGUAGGGUAUUAGUAUUAGCUAUAGGGUGUAGGGUAUUAGUAUUAGCUAUAGGGUGUAGGGUAUAAGUAUUAGCUAUAGGAUGUAGGGUAUGAGUUUUAGUAUUUGCUAUAGUGUGUAGGGUAUUAUAUAUUAGUAUUAGCUAUAGGAUGUAGGGUAUUAGUGUUAGCUAUAGGGUGUAGGGUAUUAGUAUUAGUAUUAGCUAUAUGGUACUAGUAUUAGCAAUAGGGUUAGGGUAUUAGUGUUAGCAAUAGGGUGUAGGGUAUUAGGUAUUAGCUAUAGGGUGUAGGGUAUUAGUUUUAGUAUUUGCUAUAGUGUGUAGGGUAUUAUAUAUUAGUAUUAGCUAUAGGAUGUAGGGUAUUAGUGUUAGCUAUAGGGUGUAGGGUAUUAGUAUUAGUAUUAGCUAUAGGGUGUAGGGAAUUAGUAUUAGUAUUAGCUAUUGGGUGUAGGGUAUUAGUAUAGUAUUAGCUAUAAGGUGUAUGGUAUUAGUAUUAGCUAUAGGGUAUUAGGUAUUAGUAUUAGCUAUAGGGUAUUAGUAUUAGCAUAAGGGUGUAGGGU
ensembl:lncRNA